CACUGGAAUACUGUAGAAUGUUUAGUUAUAACACUCCAGAUGGUCCCUCUUUCUUACAAACUUUGUCUUUGUCAUCAUUAAUUUUCAUAAAAUCUCGGUCUCUCCUGAUCUAGGAGUGUCUCUUAAUUCAUUGGAUCAAUGUUCCCUCCCACUCAAUGCACUGGAGACUGGAACUGAGACAUAGUGUCAUUCUUCCUUAGGAAUAGAGGUAAAUGAUACUAUUUAUAGUAACACUGAUACUAUUUAUAGUACAAUCCUAUUGAUUGACACUAUGCUAUUGUACUGUAGUAUAUGAUAUAGACUUCUCAA